UCUGUCAUUUUGGGCAUGGACGUCGGGCCUCUGAAAAUGCAUACCACACGACAACUGCAUGUUAUUUGCAUUAUUAGCACUUAUGAGUAUUCUGCCCUUUAUAAGUUCAGCUGAGUGAUGUGGUUUUGUACGCUGCCCUGGAUCGCCCUCUGGUGGUUGCUUAGCAUUAGUGUUUUGUUGAUAGUGGAAGGAAAGAAGAAGAAUCCAAGAUGGUGGUACACAGCUCCGGGUUGUUCAUGUGUUGAGCCGAUGUUAACUUAUAACGUUGUUGCCUUGAACAAGAUUUGUCCGUAAGUAUUUUUUAAGACGGCCUAAAGAGGGCAGUGGUCAGAGGCCAUUCUACAAAUAAACCAGCACAAA